rnacentral:lncRNA from 1 species
AAAUGUUUUUCCUUUUCUUCCCUUUUCUUUCUUUUUCCUUUCCCUUUCUUUUUUCACCUUCACACCACCCUGUAAUCCUAUAACACUUGAAUCAUUUAUCCUUCCCUACAACACCUGAAGAUAUUUCCUUGGUUUUUGGUAAUUGGUCACCAACCUAAAUAAAAUUUGAUAAUUCUCUUUUUUUUUUUAAAAUGAGAAGAAACACUGAACUGAUGAAAACGUCAAAAAAAUAAGAAUGGUAAAGUCAACCUUCUAAAAUAACUAAUCAAAAUUAACUGCUAAUGUUUAAUAUAAUCAAAAGUUAUUAGAAAAAAAAAAAAAAAAAUUGGUAAACAUGAAUUGACACGUUGGGCGCCAAAUUUAUUACACUGUUUCUCGCACAAUGCCUAAAUGUGGGUUCCAGGGUUAUGAUUAUUAGCCUUUAUUAGGGCACGCAAAGAAAACGCAGCUUUAUAUCGUUAAACCCAGCUUUAGUAUUGAAAGAUAAAUCAAUGUCAUAAUUGACAACUAAUUUAAUCUAUAACCUCAAUUCAAAAAAAAAUAAAUACAAAGACAGUAAUGCUCUAAUACUUAAGUUAUAAUUAUGAAAUUUAAAAUUAUGAGAAAGAAAAUAAAGUAAAAUUUAGCACUUAAUACCUAUUCAAUUGUACAUCUAAUAAUACCUCGCAUAUACGUAUAUACUCAGUUCCCAAUUUCAAAUCAAAUCAGUGAUGGUGGUUAUAUAAACAAUUUUGCUAAAUUGAAUUUAAAAUCUGUGAUCAUUUCUACAUAUUAAUUCAAAAAAAAUAAUCUAUAAAUUGCGACGAACCGAUAAAUCAAUACCUGGAGAAACCAAGCCAAAAAGAAAAAGGGGCUACCUGAAAUUCUGAGUCUCUCCGACUGGUAGCAGGGCCCACCUGAUCUGAAUGGGGCUCCUUUGUUGGCAGCUAUACGUUUGGGUCAAAAGAGGCAGCAGCAGAUCGACCAGUUAGGAUGCUUCCAGAAUGUCUAGCAGGUAGUGGAGGGCAAUCGGUAUUAGGUGUAGCCGAUUGGAAGGAAUGCAGGUUCCGGAGGUGAUGAUCCAAGCGACUUGAUGUGGUAACACGUGGAGUAGCAAGUGAGGUGGAAGCAGUAACAAUAAAAAUGCAGCAAAAGCAGAAGCAGAGGAUAAGCAGAAGGUACAGGAAGGCCGAAGAUGGAAUGUGGCCUUUUCUGGGGUUUAUUUAACACAACAAAAACAAGGAGCCCUAUAAACUCUUAGGCCUACUUAGAAAAUCAGCAAUUAAGCUAUCCUAGCACAUACUAGUAACUACAAAAAAAUUAGGCUAAGAUAGGGUCUACCUUUUCACAUCCGCAUUAAGCGAAACUAUCUGUCAUACUCUAGAACCAGAUAAAGAAUGAAUCUAUUAAAAAUAGGAUUGUCAGUUCCCUCCAAAUUUUAAGGAAUGCAUUUAUCUGUCAAGUACCUAGGUGUUGACAUGCUGGGUUUAACUACUGGGUACUAUCUGAUACCAACAUUGGUUUAAGUAAUUUGCAACUAUGGAGCAAUCUAUAACUUGAGGCCAUGGUUUAGCAACAAUAAUUUACAAAAAAAAACUGACAGACCAGAUUGACAUUAACAUUCUUAUCACUAUUGAUCCUUAUGAUUUGAACAAAAUAAACAAUUAGUUAAUAUGUGCUCAGUAUUCACUAAAAUCUAAAAUAGGCCAAAUUGACCUGCAAGGUAAAAUCAAUGCAAAAUCAAUGACAGUUCGUAAUUCUAUUCAAUCAACAAAACAAUGAAACAAUAUCCCAUAUUAUUAUUUACUUUCCUCAUCCAAUAAUGGUUUUCCUUGCUUUUCAGAUCGGGUAUGUUAGGAGGGACCAUCUUAACGGUAUAUCAUAUCUGUGUAGUAUGUAUAUUUAUGUAUGAUUUUUAAAUAAAUUAUUUUAUGAAACUAUGGUUGCGAUUUACUUUAUCUUGGUAAAAAAAAUUAAUAAAUCAAUUAAUAUAUUUGUUGGAGAUUAAACCUGUAACAAAGUAUAUUUUGUUGUGUUUACUUUUAGGAUUUAAUAGCGCCUGCAAAGUGAGAAGUGAGAAGUCUGGGGGAAGCAUUCACAUUCAAGGAACCUGUCGCUCAAGGAUUUUAGUAAAAGUUUUAACAAGCGGAUCGAUUGCUGUGAAAUUUGUGGAAACUCAUGUAGGAAAUGCAUACGAGUUAAGAACAAAACGGUUGUCCAAGGCUGAAGAAAAUAUUGUAGUUGGGCAAUUGACUGCAGGAGUGACAAACGAAAGGAUAAUUCAAGAUGCUUGAAAAAUUCAGAAAAACACAAUACAAAGACUAAACCUACUAACAAGAGGAGACCUUGCAUAUUUGAUAAGGCUCUUCAACUAAGGCUGGGCGAGACUCUUCAGACCGACUAUAUAAUGAGUGAUGAUGAUCCCAAAUAUUAUAAUGCAUGGAUCAAGGUGAUGAAUUUGGCGGAAAAACCUAGGAGACUUCUUUGUUCUAAUAUCAAAGGAAGAUCAAAAUUGAAGAAGGCAGAAAACAGAAUACAUAUAUGAAGAAGGAAAUGAGGAAAAUUUUAAAGGAGACCAAUGUUGCCGCUUUUAUGGUGUUAAAAGAAAACUAUUUCAAGCAUUUGGAAGAGGAGGGUGAACACAAUUUCUUGAGAUAC